AGAGUUUGAUCAUGGCUCAGAUUGAACGCUGGCGGCAUGCCUUACACAUGCAAGUCGAACGGUAACGCGGGGCAACCUGGCGACGAGUGGCGAACGGGUGAGUAAUGUAUCGGAACGUGCCCAGUAGUGGGGGAUAGCCCGGCGAAAGCCGGAUUAAUACCGCAUACGACCUACGGGUGAAAGGGGGGGAUCGCAAGACCUCUCGCUAUUGGAGCGGCCGAUAUCAGAUUAGGUAGUUGGUGGGGUAAAGGCCCACCAAGCCGACGAUCUGUAGCUGGUCUGAGAGGACGACCAGCCACACUGGGACUGAGACACGGCCCAGACUCCUACGGGAGGCAGCAGUGGGGAAUUUUGGACAAUGGGCGCAAGCCUGAUCCAGCCAUGCCGCGUGCGGGAAGAAGGCCUUCGGGUUGUAAACCGCUUUUGUCAGGGAAGAAAUCCCUUGGGUUAAUACCCCGGGGGGAUGACGGUACCUGAAGAAUAAGCACCGGCUAACUACUGCCAGCAGCCGCGGUA
rnacentral:rRNA from 1 species